AUUGAACGCUGGCGGCAGGCCUAACACAUGCAAGUCGAGCGGGGUUUUCGGACCUAGCGGCGGACGGGUGAGUAAUGCGUAGGAAGCUACCCGAUAGAGGGGGAUACCAGUUGGAAACGACUGUUAAUACCGCAUAAUGUCUACGGACCAAAGUGUGGGACCUUCGGGCCACAUGCUAUCGGAUGCGCCUACGUGGGAUUAGCUAGUUGGUGGGGUAAUGGCUCACCAAGGCGACGAUCCCUAGCUGGUUUGAGAGGAUGAUCAGCCACAAUGGAACUGAGACACGGUCCAGACUCCUACGGGAGGCAGCAGUGGGGAAUAUUGGACAAUGGGCGCAAGCCUGAUCCAGCCAUGCCGCGUGUGUGAAGAAGGCCUUCGGGUUGUAAAGCACUUUCAGUAGGGAGGAAGAGUUGAGUGUUAAUAGUACUCAGCUUUGACGUUACCUACAGAAGAAGCACCGGCUAACUCUGUGCCAGCAGCCGCCGUAAUAC
rnacentral:rRNA from 1 species